AGGCUGUUGACAAGUGACCAUCUAGCCCAGGAAGUCGAUUGUUUUAAUGCCCUUCGAGGUCCAGCAAAGACAAGGAUGACAACCAUAUUUGCAAGCCAGUCCCCACACUACCAAUGUUCUUUCUGCAAGAAGUAGCCCCUGUACAAUAAGGAUGAAGAAAACCCUCAAGCAGGAGAAAAAGAAAAGAAGACAAUCAAAGAGAGAAGUUCUCAGCUUGAUGGGAGAUAUGGGCUGCAGCUGCAGUUAACUCAGUGGGUGUAGAAGAUAUGGAGUGGGGAACAACAGUGUUUGCUGCUCUGGUCCUUCAAGUUUUUAUUGAGUGUUUUGAAGUAGGGAUUGUAUAAUGGGUGCCCAUCUGUCUCCACAGUGCCCAGCAGAGUUCUAGAAGGUAGAGACGUCUGUUGUGUUUGCUUUUUCUUCACCUUUUGGUGGUUCUUCACUAAUCUAUGCAUGAAUUCAAUUUGAAACCUA
rnacentral:lncRNA from 1 species